rnacentral:rRNA from 1 species
AACGAACGCUGGCGGCAUGCCUAACACAUGCAAGUCGAACGAGAUCUUCGGGUCUAGUGGCGCACGGGUGCGUAACGCGUGGGAAUCUGCCCUUUGGUUCGGAAUAACAGUUGGAAACGACUGCUAAUACCGGAUGAUGACGAAAGUCCAAAGAUUUAUCGCCAGAGGAUGAGCCCGCGUAGGAUUAGCUAGUUGGUGUAGUAAAGGCGCACCAAGGCGACGAUCCUUAGCUGGUCUGAGAGGAUGAUCAGCCACACUGGGACUGAGACACGGCCCAGACUCCUACGGGAGGCAGCAGUGGGGAAUAUUGGACAAUGGGCGAAAGCCUGAUCCAGCAAUGCCGCGUGAGUGAUGAAAGCCUUAGGGUUGUAAAGCUCUUUUACCCGGGAUGAUAAUGACAGUACCGGGAGAAUAAGCUCCGGCUAACUCCGUGCCAGCAGCCGCAGUAA